UUCAACUAAAAGUUAAAUGAUAAUUUGUUUGUAUUUUUUUAAAUUAGAUAUUAAUGAAAGGACAAAAUUAUUAAUAGAUGAGAGUAAUAAUAAUCAUAACACUAAUGUGCAGAAUAAUCCUAAGAUGUUGACUAGUAAUGUUUCUGAUAAUAAUUGCGAUGAAGAAGGCAGUGAUAUAAAAUAUUUGUCUGCAGAAAUUGAAUGAAGUUUUUCGGAUUAUGACAAAGAAACUCAUCGGAUAAUAAUAUAUCUUCUCAAAAGCACAAAUCUUACUACAAGCAAAUCUUUGUUUAAAAAAGAAUGUAAUGCAAUGCAUUCAACUACUUCAUAUUUAGAGCUUAAAGUCAUUAAUUUGAAGCAAUGAUAAAGUUAUUUAACAAAAAAGAUUACAUAUAUGACUGACAUAAAUUUUUUUGUUUAUUACAUGCAGUUAUAUUUUUAUUUAUGGCGAUACAUGAUUAGUCAGGGAUCUAUAUAUAUAUAUAUAGAUUCUUCAUUUUUUAAAUUAUUUAAAAAAAAAAGUUAAAUUUUUUCCAUAUGUUUGGCAAAUGCAUCAUGUACAAAUUACAUAAAAAUUUAAAUUUUAUAUUUUCAAGUUUUAACACUAUUUUUCAUUUAUAUGUGAUUUAUGUAUACAAUUUAUGUAUACAACUAAAUACACUAUUAUGUAAUUUAUAUAUACAACUCUUAUUAUCAAAUUAUUUCAGAUAAAACUUUAUGAAGUGCAUCAUUUUUUUCUUUUUAGUCCAACGCGAUCUUUUCGUUUUUUCAUAAGGUGAUGCUAAAAAAAAAUAUAUGAGCACUUUCCAGCAAGACACAAUUUCACACAAUGGAUCAUUUCAUUCUUACUGAAUAUCAACAAAGAUAAAAUGAUCGCCUUUGUCAACUGUGUCUCAUAUUGGAAAACUUCCAAUGUAUACGUAUAAAAAUAAAUAUAGACAAAAAUUGUUAAAAUUUAGAAAUAUAUAAGAUUUAUUCAACAUUACAUUACAAUUUAUUAAUCAAAUUAAUUUAUUAAUAUAUUUACUAAUCAAAUUAAUGUCGAAUAAAAAAAAACGAAAAUUCUUAUAUUGAAAUUUUAUAUAAUAAAUAUUAUUUUUAUAAAAUAUGUUUGAUGCAUUAGUAAAGUAUUUUUGGAAUUUUUAAUCAUAUAAAUUAAAUUUUAUUUCAAAUAAAAAUGGAUGCAAAAUACUGUAAAAUUCCAGUCUUUUUAUUAUCUUCUUAUUUUUCCUGUGUUACAGAUUUUGCUGUGUUACUUAAACUUAUAUCUCAAAUAAUUUGAUAAUAAAUAGUGGUACACAUAAAUUAUAUACAAAUAAAUAAUAGUGUUAAAAAACUUGAAAAUAUAAAAUUUAAAUUUUUAUAUAAUUUAUAAAUCCCAUUUACUAUUCAUUGCUGUUUCAUUAAUAAUAUUUUCUGAAUCGCUGUUCUGUUCGAUUUCGCUAUUCGAUAGAGAUUCAUUACUAAAGUCCUCUAUGUCUCCCUGCACCGUUUCUAAAUAUUGUGAGAUUUUAACUAUAUCCCGAACUGCAAGUGGUUGUUUGUAGUGCUCUCGAUGUACUUCAUCUGCAUAAAUGUGGCGAGAUUCGAAAUAUCAAUCAUUGAGAUUCAUUUGUAUACAAUGUGUUGCAAUAUGUUUCCUCAAUAUUUUACCUCGCAAACUAGUUGAAUGCAUUGCGUUACAUUUUUCUGGGAACCUGUGCAUUAGAACACAAGCUCUAAAAUAUCUAUAUCCAUUUUUAGUAAAACCAGGCAAUCCAAAAACGUACGGAUUAUUUUUUGGUACUUUAGCGUUUUCUCGAAACUUUAAGAUAAGUGUAAUACAUUGAAGUAAAUCAUUUGAGAG